GCAUGGGAUAAUAGGGGGAAAGAUGGAGAUUGACCUGUGUGACACUGAGGAGCAGUUCAAGAGCAUCACAUUGCUGCAGCUGAGGGAGAAGAUAAUAGAGAGAUUAGAUUACCGAGACAUUCCAGAAGAGUGCCUGCGACUGAUCUUCAGGGACAAGUCUCUGGUUCUGGACAAGGACUCCUCUCCACUGUCUGCAUAUGGAAUCCAACACAUGUCACACAUUUGCGCGCUUGUA